GCAAGUCGAACGAGGGCCCAGAGCUUGCUCUGGUGACCCGAGUGGCGAACGGGUGAGUAACACGUGACCAACCUAUCCUAGGGCGGGGGACAACCCGGAGAAAUCUGGGCUAAUACCGCAUGAUGUUGUUCCUUCGCAUGUUGGAACAAUCAAAGAGGGCCUCUGCUUGCAAGCUCUCGCCCAGGGAGGGGGUCGCGACGUAUCAGUUUGUUGGUGGGGUAAUGGCCUACCAAGACUACGACGCGUAGCGGAUCUGAGAGGAUGAUC
rnacentral:rRNA from 1 species